rnacentral:rRNA from 1 species
CCUACGGGAGGCAGCAGUGAGGAAUAUUGGUCAAUGGACGAGAGUCUGAACCAGCCAAGUAGCGUGAAGGAUGACUGCCCUAUGGGUUGUAAACUUCUUUUAUAUGGGAAUAAAAUGUUCCACGUGUGGGAUUUUGUAUGUACCAUAUGAAUAAGGAUCGGCUAACUCCGUGCCAGCAGCCGCGGUAAUACGGAGGAUCCGAGCGUUAUCCGGAUUUAUUGGGUUUAAAGGGAGCGUAGGUGGAUUGUUAAGUCAGUUGUGAAAGUUUGCGGCUCAACCGUAAAAUUGCAGUUGAAACUGGCAGUCUUGAGUACAGUAGAGGUGUGCGGAAUUCGUGGUGUAGCGGUGAAAUGCUUAGAUAUCACGAAGAACUCAGAUUGCGAAGGCAGUUCACUGGACUGCAACUGACACUGAGGCUCGAAAGUGUGGGUAUCAAACAGGAUUAGAUACCCGAGUAGUC